GACCUCCAUGUGACCUGCAGGACUCACAACUCUCACAUCAGCAGCACUUUCAAGUGUCCUAAAGGGGUCUGCAGUCAGGAGGGAGGAGAGCGGUCAGAGGUCACGACCUCUGGGGCUUCUCUCCAGGUCUACCUGCUGAAGAGCACCAUCAUCUGUAACCAUAGAAACCAGGUUCACUGGACCCAGGACUUCGUUCCUGCUGAACAUCUUUGUCCCUCAAAACCUGAUCACGUUACAAAGAUGUUUUCACAAUCCAAACUGCAGUCCGUCAGAAGCACAUCAGAUCCUCCUCUUCACCCUGGCUGGAUGACUGCUGUUUGCAUUCUCACUGUCACUGUCUUGUUUGUGGGCCUAUUUUUCUGGCUUCGUCAUCAUCAAAGGAGAAUAAUCAAUUUAGGAAGAAGAUUUGAAGAUCUUGUUCAUUCAGUUAUUCUGGACGUGAUCGGCACCAACAUCUCAGUGGAACAUGGGACCCGCGAGUACAACCCUAAGGUCCAAGAAAGAGCUUUAUAGGACGUAUUCAGAAUGCCGCUCAGGAAGAACUUGAACGUCAGUUGCUGGAUCGACUCAACAAGGAAGCGGCUUCGAGGGAGAAGAUGGUCAGAAUUUAACAAUUAAAUCCCAGAAGUCUGCUGGUAGUUUGCAGCCUUAUUGAAGCUUUUUAUGUUUUGGUUCAUGUUACCUGCUUUAAUGCUGAAAGAUUCUCUUCUACACAAGUGUGAUGUUGGAGUGAGAUUAACAAACAAUGAUUGAAUGUUAAUAAGCUUCACACUCAGUUUUUUACCUUUUUUUUUUUGCAUCACAAUUGGAGAUAUUAAUAUUUUACAUUUAAGGUCAAUGUAUAAAAACUAAAAUGUUUCAACUGUGCUGAAUGUGUGAAACAGAUUUUUUUUUUUUUUAAUAUUUUUCCAUGUUGUAUUUAGUAUUAUACAUUAUGACGCUUUAACAACUUUCCACCCAAAACAAAACCUGCUAAAAGAAUGAUGUACAAGUAAAUACUGUACAUGCAAGCAGACAAAUAUGCAAUGUGUAUUUUUUCCAUUCUAAAUAGGAUCAUAUGUAGUAUUAUAUGGUGUAUUUUAUAUUAUUUGCUUACAUAUAAUCUAUAUUCUACAUUCAAGAAAACAUCCACCAAAAGCAUUUAUAUUGUCUUGUGUGAUAUUUUGUCUAUAAAUCAAUGGAUUUUCAUCAUUUGUUUUAAAGGUGAACUAUGAAGGUUUUCUUGUCAAAAUGCAUCUUUGAGUCUACGUUCCUUCACCAGGAAAUAUCAUGUGAAUAGUAGAUUACUUGACCUGAUCAUCAAAGUUCAACUAAUAGAAAUAAUCAUCAACGUAUUAAAGAAUGUAUUUCCAUUGCAUUACAGUUUUAUUAUUGAAUAUGAUUUUUAAUAAACUUUUUUUCUCCAAACA